AUCCCUUUCUGGUUCAUAAGGAUGAUGAUUGUGUGUUCACAGACUUUGUGGUAUGUGUCUCCCUUAAAUUUUGCUACAUAUUUUGCACAUUACUCAUCUGACA